AACCAGGAAACCAUGAAGUGAAGCACUGAGAGCGUUCAGACUCCAGCCGGCAGCCAGCCGAGGGACAGAAGGAGAAGCAGCUGACUGAAGAUGAGUGGUGUGGAGGACUGAUCAGAGGCUGAUCCUGCAGAGUCUACAGAACGAUGCUGCUCACUGAGCUUCACUCUGAUCGAAAACUUCCUGUCUGCCAGUUUGUUGCUCUUCAGUCUGACUUUCACAGUUUCGUGGCUCGCUCUUCAGUUUGUGUCAGUAUCACAGCUUCACUCCGUAGUUUUUCAGCCCUGACUGAACAGUAAGUUUACUUGUAAAUCUUUCCACAGUGUCUGACUCAUCCCACCCUGCUCAUUACGUAUUCGAACUCCUCCCUUCAGGCAGCAGACACAGGAUGACAGAAGACGUGUCCCCUGCAGACAGUCUGUCCACUGUUGACUGUCCUCCAAAGUUCUGUCCUGGGACCUCUUUUAUGUGCUGUUUAUGUGAACAACCUGGACCAUAACGUUCCACCUGCACAGCUUCGCCUUUAUGCUGACGAUACUGUCAUUUACGCUCCUUCUGCUCAGCCUCGUCCGGCUGCCUUUAACUGGCAGCUAUUGUCUUCACUCAAAUAACUCCCUUUCAUCAUCUAUAGGGCUGGACCUGGACUUGGUUAACAGGUUUUUCGCUUCUCUGCAGCAGCAGCCUGGAAUAGCUGGCAGCCGAAUGCACACUCAUCCCGAUGAGGAACUUAAAAAUAUCAUGAAAUGUGUGGAGACCGAUUUGAUUGGAGCAGAAAACUCUUUCCUUUCCCUCAACUGAUUUGAGAAGCUAUUGCUGUAACAUUUAUCCUGUAUGGGUUUUGAAAUGUUUGGGUUUCAUAAAGUGUAAAUAAUGUGUUUUUUAGGUGCUGCUGCCAUCUUGGCUCCCUUGAAAAAUAUCCAGUGAUCUCAGAGGGACUCACCAGUAAGGUUCAAAUUGAAAUAUGGCGUUCCGCUGGGCAAGAGAGGAGUCUUCAACUCCAAACGGUGGGCUGUCAGGUUCUCGUGCACGUGUGAAGCAGAUACAUUCAGACUGUGGAAGAACCGUGAUCGGCGCUUCCUCCAGGCAGGAGACGAGAUAAUCCAAAGACAGAACACACAACUGGAAAACAGCUUAGUCAGAAUCUGCUUAUAGGUACCAUUAUUUUAGGUAUUAACUUCAUGGUCAGUUUGGCUGUUGAUAAUAAUCAAUGAUUAAAAUGAUAGUUAAUGAUUAUUAAAAAAAACCUCGUUGCACCACCUGAUAACAGGAAAUGAGGAGCAAAUUCACUGAUAUCAGUCUCAUCAGAUACACUAAACUGUUGAUUUGGAAUGAACAAAUAACAGUUACCUAAAGAAGUCGACAUUUGAUUCAUCUUGUGAAACAAUAACUCAGAACUAUGAUUCUAAGUUGUGUCUAAGCCCGAUACACACUACAGGGUCUUCAAACCCUCCCCGACUCAGAGACCACACACACAACAGAAGACCGAUCACACCAGGUCUUCCUCUUCUGAUCUUCUCGUGUGUGACGUGCACUACGAAGCAGAACACACACCAACCCAUUAUUCAGCAGAGCAUCAGGGUCUUUACCGGGCGCCUGGCAUCAGACCCAGACGGCCAGUCCUCACAGGAAGUGAGCGUUAUUUCAUGUUUUCACAAUGUGUGCAUCAGCAGAGGUCAGAGGCUCGGGCAGACAGCAGAGUCUCCAGGGUCCGGCAGGUUGUCUCUGAAGAGUGACCGGUCCAAACAUUUUCCUCCCGUCUACAGUGGUGAACCUGGACCUCCAGACACACAACACACAUCAGAGUCUUCAGGAUCCAGCAGGAUGUCUCUGAAGAGUGACAGAUCUAUAAUUCAACCACUAAACUUCAGCGUUGAACCUGGACCUUCAGACACAAAAGAGAAGAGGAGGACUGCUGUCUGUG